GCCAGCAUGGUGUAGUGGUUUGAGCAUUGGACUAUGACUCUGGAGACCAGGGUUUGACUCCCUGCCCAGCCA
rnacentral:tRNA from 1 species